UUAUUUGGAUCGAGUUUACUUCUCGACAAGAGGUAAACUUCUGCCAAAUAUAUAUUUUGAAUCCUAUAUUCCUAUAGGAGCAAGAUGAACAAAAUAUUUAAAACCCACACUUUGAAUGUAUUUUUAUAUAUAUUUUGAAAAAUUUAAAA
rnacentral:misc_RNA from 1 species